rnacentral:rRNA from 1 species
CCAGCAGCCGCGGUAAUUCCAGCUCCAAUAUCGUAUAUUAAAGUUGCUGCAGUUAAAAAGCUCGUAGUUGGAUCUUGGGAGCGGGCGGGCGGUCCGCCGCGAGGCGAGCCACCGCCCGUCCCCGCCCCUUGCCUCUCGGCGCCCCCUCGAUGCUCUUAGCUGAGUGUCCCGCGGGGCCCGAAGCGUUUACUUUGAAAAAAUUAGAGUGUUCAAAGCAGGCCCGAGCCGCCUGGAUACCGCAGCUAGGAAUAAUGGAAUAGGACCGCGGUUCUAUUUUGUUGGGUUUCGGAACUGAGGCCAUGAUUAAGAGGGACGGCCGGGGGCAUUCGUAUUGCGCCGCUAGAGGUGAAAUUCUUGGACCGGCGCAAGACGGACCAGAGCGAAAGCAUUUGCCCAGAAUGUUUUCCUUAAUCAAGAACGAAAGC